CAGCGAACGCUGGCGGCAGGCCUAACACAUGCAAGUCGAACGAACUCUUCGGAGUUAGUGGCGGACGGGUGAGUAACACGUGGGAACGUGCCUUUAGUGUUCGGAAUAACUCAGGGAAACUUGUGCUAAUACCGAAUGUGCCCUUCGGGGGAAAGAUUUAUCGCCUUUAGAGCGGCCCGCGUCUGAUUAGCUAGUUGGUGAGGUAAAGGCUCACCAAGGCGACGAUCAGUAGCUGGUCUGAGAGGAUGAUCAGCCACAUUGGGACUGAGACACGGCCCAAACUCCUACGGGAGGCAGCAGUGGGGAAUCUUGCGCAAUGGGCGAAAGCCUGACGCAGCCAUGCCGCGUGAAUGAUGAAGGUCUUAGGAUUGUAAAAUUCUUUCACCGGGGACGAUAAUGACGGUACCCGGAGAAGAAGCCCCGGCUAACUUCGUGCCAGCAGCCGCGGUAAUACGAAGGGGGCUAGCGUUGCUCGGAAUUACUGGGCGUAAAGGGAGCGUAGGCGGACAUUUAAGUCAGGGGUGAAAUCCCGGGGCUCAACCUCGGAAUUGCCUUUGAUACUGGGUGUCUUGAGUAUGAGAGAGGUGUGUGGAACUCCGAGUGUAGAGGUGAAAUUCGUAGAUAUUCGGAAGAACACCAGUGGCGAAGGCGACACACUGGCUCAU
rnacentral:rRNA from 1 species